CCUACGGGAGGCAGCAGUGGGGAAUAUUGGGCAAUGGGCGCAAGCCUGACCCAGCAACGCCGCGUGAAGGAAGAAGGCCCUCGGGUUGUAAACUUCUUUUAUUCGGGACGAAACAAAUGACGGUACCGAAUGAAUAAGCCACGGCUAACUACGUGCCAGCAGCCGCGGUAAUACGUAGGUGGCAAGCGUUAUCCGGAUUUACUGGGUGUAAAGGGCGUGUAGGCGGGAGAGCAAGUCAGACGUGAAAUUCCAGGGCUCAACCCUGGAACUGCGUUUGAAACUGGCGGGCUGGAGUUGGAGAGAAGUACGCGGAAUGCGCGGUGUAGCGGUGAAAUGCUUAGAUAUCGCGCAGAACCCCGAUUGCGAAGGCAGCGUACCGGCUCCACACUGACGCUGAGGCACGAAAGCGUGGGUAUCGAACAGGAUUAGAUACCCUUGUAGUC
rnacentral:rRNA from 1 species